UUUCAAUGACCACGAGUAUCCAGUGAAAGCUGUUUACACACACAUAUAUAUAUAGUCAGUCCUGUAAUGUAAAAUAAAAUAUGCAUGCACUUAAUAACUAUAUAACUCACUCGAAGUUGAAGGGGAAAGAGUAUUUUUUGUUUUUCUUUUUGGUUCACAAAGAACCUCAUAAGAUUGGUGCAGACUUCUGUCUCAUGAUCUGCUGUCCACACUGCCUACGGAGCCUUGAAAACAAUAUAAGGGUCAACGAACCCAAUACUAUUGUCAUUUCUCAUCCUGAGCUCUCUCAUUUGGUGCCUGCAUAUAUACAUACAAAUCCUAAGUGUGUAAGGAUUAUAUACAUGUAAUUAAAGAAGUU
rnacentral:lncRNA from 1 species